GGGUANUAAAUUUCAAACCUAAAGAAUUUGGCGGUUUUUAAACUUACUAGAGGAACCUGUCCUGUAAUCGAUAGUCCACGAANUUAUUNACCUGCUCUUGUAAUCAGCUUAUAUACCGCCGUUUAGUGAACUAAAUAAAUAGCUUCUCUAAAUUAAUUAGUUAAAUAAAUCAGGUCAAGGUGUAGUUUAUGGGUAGGAAGAGAUGGGUUACAAURAUAUUUUAAAUGGAUACUAAGCCUUAGGGUUUAAUUGAAGGUGGAUUUAGAAGUAAAUAUCAAUUAUUUGAAGAAAGCUCUUAAAAAUGUACACAU
rnacentral:rRNA from 1 species